GAUCUGAUGUCAUAAAUCAGAACAAUAAGAGCAGCUACAGCAGCCACGCCCACCAGAGCAGAGACGGCCAAUCGCAUGACACCCUCGGUAGUAUCACAACAGUUGACACAGUCUGAGGACAGAAGAAACGAAAUGAAAUAGAUCGGCUGCAUGAAUCAACACAAACAUCACCUGACGUGACUCACCUGAACACUUGUGACAGACAUGAGCGAUGUCGAGAUGUUGAGUCUGGUUUCCGAACGGAUGGCUGAUCACACAUCUGAGAAAGUCGCACGUGGGACAUUCAACACUGAACACAACAACACACAUUUUGAGACUGAAGAUCCUUCUGACGCUGGAGGAUUCUGCGGACAGUAACUGACGAUGACAGGAACAGGAAGACGAGCUAGAAAACACGAGCAAAGAACAAAGAUCAAGAAAUCAGAAAUGUAAACCUCAUUGUAAAGUGUCGCCCGUCAUUUGUGCGCGUGUGUGUAAAAAGCGGUUGUUAAACAAAUUUAAAGUAUAAAGAUGGCAUUGCAUUUCAAAAGUAAAUCUUUAUCACCAUAAACAUUAACAUAGAAUUUGUAUGAUGUCACUCUAAUGGCGUCGCUGAUCCGGGAGCUGCUGGUGGUGAUCAUCACAUAAAGUCCGGAGUGUUGAGUCGUGAUGUUUGUGAUGGUGAGAGAUCCGGUCUGAUUGUCCACCUGCAGUCUGUCUCUGAACAUCCCAUCAUGAACAUCAGCAGCUCUUCCGGAUCUGAUGUCAUAAAUCAGAACAAGAAGAGCAGAGACGACCAAUCGGAGCACAGCAUCAGUGGUGGGCCUAUCACAAUAGUUGAGCUGAAGAUGGACUGAAGAGAGAAAAACCAAGAUGAAACAGAGAUCGGCUGAACGAAUAAACACAAACAUCACGUGUGACUCACAUGA